UCUUCUUUUUUUUUUUUGUUUUUUUUUUUGUUUUUUUGGUUUUUUUCGGAGCUGGGGACCGAACCCAGGGCCUUGAGCUUCCUAGGCAAGCGCUCUACCACUGAGCUAAAUCCCCAACCCCAAGUUCAAAGUCUUCUAUUUUUAGUUUUUAUUUUGAUUGUUUAUGGUAUUUCAAGACAGGGUUUCUCGGUGUUGCCUUGGCUUUCCUGAAACUUUCUUGACCAGGCUGGCCUCCAACUCACAGAGAUCUGCCUGCCUCUGCCUCUCAAGUGCUGGGAUUAAAGGCAUGCACCAUAUCUAACAAUCUCAAAGUAGAGGGCUGGGAUAUAGCUCAAUGUUCGAGCACUUGCCUAGGCCCUGCACUCAAUUUCUACCACCACAAAACCCAACUAAAUAAUCAACUUCUGGAUAACAGCAGGUAGGUGACUGGAGGCUUUCUGUCUUCCUGUUCCCCAUCCAGGCUAUACAGUGGGCAGGGAUUCUGUGUUAGCUUUGUGACCAAGGAGCCUCUUCUGUACCUUUUCUCCACUUCCCUUUACAGCCUUCAGGCUCUCCCUUCUAGUCUUAAGCUGUCUCCAUUUGCAGCUCAUGUCUUGCCUUGUUGUCUGUUCAUAGGCUGAUUGUUUUACUGGACUGAAUCUUGGACUCCUUUAUAAAACAUAUACUCUUGAAUAAAACUCCUGCUUCAUGAGCUGUUGCCUCCUAAAUUAGGGACUGGGGGUGGGGAGACAUAUUAGUUCCUCCUGCUUCUUUGAGGGAACAGAACCUAGGCCCUUGGGCUAAUUCAAAAGCUGGCUGUGCCUCCAGGGUAGCAGGCUGACUGAGGGGAAGAACUGGGUGUUCUACUCUGAAGGCCAAGAAGUUGGAUAACUACAGGACACUAUUGAAUUGGGCUCUGGGAUAGCCAAGCUGUUUCUGAGAACUUUCUGCUCUCCAGCUGGUGGGGUUCUGGAGUCACAAGCAGCUCAAACUGUGUGGCCUAACCUGCAAGCUAAGCUCUGACACUGCCCCUACCAUGGGCACAGUGCCCUGUUCACUUCCUGAAGCCAGGUUAUCAAAUAUAGCAGCAGCCGGGAAGAAAACACAGAUGCUUACACAGAUGGAGUGGGGAUACAGCAUUCACACUUUUCCUCGAGAUUUUCCAGCGCCUAGGACCUUGUGCUCAUAAGGCAAGUGCUCUACCACAGAGCUACAGCCCCAACUCUACUUCCGCUUUUAGUUUUUUUUUAUUCUUUUUUUUCCGGAGCUGGGGACUGAACCCAGGGCCUUCACUGAGCUAAAUCCCCAACCCCC
rnacentral:lncRNA from 1 species